UGUUGCGGUUGAAAAGCUCGUAGUUGGACUUCUGGCGGCCUCGACCGGUCCGCCUAGCGCGAGCACUGGUUGAGGCCGUCGUUUGGUCGACGGUGCGCGUUGGUCUUCAUUGCUCGGCGCGCUCUCUGUCGGCGAUGUUACUUUGAGGAAAUCAGAGUGCUCAAAGCAAGCGUUCGCUCGUGACUUCACUAGCAUGGAAUAACACAGAUGGGCUCUUUUUCGCAACGUUGGUCUGCGUCAACUGAGCAACGAUCGAUAGAGACGGUCGGGGGCAUUCGUAUUGCGCAGUUAGAGGUGAAAUUCUCCGAUCUGCGCAAGACGCACUAAUGCGAAAGCAGUUGCCAAGGACGUCCUCUUAUGAUCAAGAGCGAAAGUCGGGGGAUCAAAGAUGAUUAGAUACCGUCGUAGUCCCGACCAUAAAUGAUGCCGACUGAGCGUCGGCGACUCGGCUCCAAGCCGGACGUCGGCGCUCUUAGAGAAAUUAAAGUCUAUGGGCUCCGGGGGUAGUAUGGUCGCAAGUCUGAAACUUGAAGGAAUUGACGGAAGGGCACCACAAGGCGUGGAUGUUGCGGCUUAAUUUGACUCAACACGGGAAAGCUUACUAGGUUUGGACACUUGAAUGAGGGACAUAUUGAAGCUCUUACCUUUUUUUGUGGAUGGUGGUGCAUGGUCGUUCUCAGCCCGUGGGUUGACCUGUCAGGUUUACUCCGGUAACGCGCGAGACCUCGGUUUGCUAAAUAGACGUGGCUGUUUCGGCACCCACGCUCUUCUUAGAGAGAGACUCGGCGAGAGUCGAGGGAAGUCGAGGCAAUAACAGAUCUGUGAUGCCCUUAGUUAUCCUAGGUCGCACGCGCCAUACAAUGUGGCGCACAACGAGUUUCCUUGGCCGACAGGAUCUGGGUAAUCUGACAGAGCGCUACGUGACUGGGCUAGACUUUUGUAAUUGUUGGUCUUGAACGAGGAAUGCCUAGUAAUCGCAGGUCAUCAUCCUGCGAUGAUUCGGUCCCUGCCCUUUGUACACACCGCCCGUCGCUCCAUCCGUGGCAUGCGCCGGUGAAGAGGGGGAGGCAGCGUCGACUGAGUAACAUCAGAUCGUACGUGGAACCCCUCUGAACCUUCGCACGUAGAGGAAGGAGAAGUCGUAACAAGGUUUUCGUAGGUGAACCUGCGAAAGGAUCAUUAUCGGCAC
rnacentral:rRNA from 1 species